GCCACACCCACACAGCGCACACCUCCAAAUGCGGACCCAGACCCGAAAAGUUGGCCGGCACACACACACAGAACCACUGUUGACCCACCGAGAAGGAUGCUUUCACCCAGCUUCACACCUGGACAAACAGCCUCACAGACCUUACUGACUUCCCCAAGGUCACAGGCUAACCAGAGGCAGGGCAGGCUGGCCUCAGGGGCUCUGUCUCACCCCUCAGUGUAGUCCUUUCGCCCCAGUGGCCUAGUUAUUAUCGAUCACCCGAUUUUACAGACGAGAGAUUGAGAAGGAGAGGAGCCAUAGAACUCACCCAAGGUCUCAAAACUGGAGCCCGAGUGCUGAGGGCCAGAGCCCCAGACGGGGAGCACCUCUCCAGACGCCCUGCCCUCACCGCCAUCUGCACGCACAGCCACUUAAGGGAGCCAGAACUCGGGGCUCAGGGCUGUUGAGGCCAGCCCUGAGUGGAAAGGACUUAGCAGGGCUUUGUCUACUCCCUCCCUGGUGUGUGAGGCUCUGGGCCCUGCUCUGAUGCUCUGGUGUCUGGGAGGUGUGAACCCUGAGCUGGCUCUGCCAGGCUGUGCUGUGUCCCUGGCUGGUACCCCAGCCUCUGUGUCCCGCCAGCUCCAUCCUGGGAAGGUGACUGGGCCCUGCCUCUUUGGAGGGAGGUUUGAGGGGCCUUGGAAGAAAGAAAUGGGGUACUUUCUGACUCCGAGGGAGAGAGGCAGCCAGUUGUCCAGGCUCUGGGGUAGGUGAGAACCCUAGUCGGGCAGGGCCCCAGCAGGAAACAUGGCCACGCCCUCCUCUUCCUGCCUCUGCUUGCCCAAGCCCUUCCCCACUGCAGAGGAGGCCUGGGGGAGGAAGCCGGAAUGUGGCAUCAAGUGCUUUGUGCUGGAAGGAUCAAACUUUGGAUCCCUCUCAGGCUCCUGUCCACUCUGAUCUGGAGCCAUCCACUAGUCCCUGAGCCUCUGUGUUCUCCCCUUUCCCUGGGGACAUCUGCAUUUGGUUGUUCAGCAACCACGGGGCCCCUGUGUUGGCAUUCAUGGUUCACAAACCACACUUAAUGUGAGAUGAGAAUGGGAUCCCAGGUUUGCCCCUUGAUGGCUGCAUGACACUGGGUGAGUCCUGUCACCUCUCACCUCAUCUGUAAAAUGGGGCCAAUGCUGGUGGCCAGCUCUUAGAACAUGAUGAGGAGAGGAUCAGGAUAGGACUUGCCCAGAGCUUGUAGAAGACUCUAGGACCCCCAUUUCCCCCAUAGAACCUCACAGCAGAUGCCAGAGCAGAGGUGGGCCACUCCCAUCUGAGGUUUCACACUUCUGGGCUCUGUGGCGAGGGUCUGCCCCUCCAUGGCUCUGAACCGCUUUCCUCUGUGCGAUGAAAGUAAACGACGUCUCCCUUUGAGGGCUUGGGGUACGGGGAGAACAAGGCUCGCACAGUAGGUGUGCAGGCCACGUCCCCACAGCAGGGUUCCAAAGCCUAAGAUCCAUCAGUGACCCUGAGGAGGGAUUCGAAGAAAAGUUCAGAUUUCAGAUUUCUGGCUUCAUUUGAAAAACUGGAAAAUUCUGGGAAAAUUGUGCCUCCCUUCCCACUUGCUCCAGAGUGAUUUCACAUCCACGCGUGAAGGUUUUUCAGGUUGGUGGAGAUGUGUUAUUGGUCUCUGGCGCUGAGGGGAAACUCAAAUGACUGGGGAUUUACUGAGGGUUUCCUGGGGCAGGGACAGGGCAGCGGUUUCCUGGUCCUGCAGGAGAAGAGGCAGAUCCAGAGCCCCAUUCCUGGGCAUCCGCCACCCAGCGUGAGCCAGGUCCUGGACUGGGUGUUGUGGGCCCUGCUGGGAGCAGGGGCAGCAGUCACAUGGAGAUGGUCUUCUGCUCUCAUGAUGCAAUGUGAUGGUAAUCCUAACACUGAGGAAGCCAGCGCAAGCCGGCAGGGCAGGGAAGGCACCAUCCAAGGGAGUGGUCUUUGAGCUAGUCCCAAAGCAUAAGCAGGAUUUUGCCCAGUAAGUAGGGGAUAUUGAGGACAUAUUAAGCAGGGAGAAUGCCACAGUCAGAAGCUUGGUGGCUUAAAAGUACAGGAUUAGAUUGUGGCUGGAGGGUCGCUUUCCUGGGGUGGGGAUGGAAAAGGUGGUCUUACUGUGUGGCCUCAGACAAGUCACUUCACCUCUUUGAGCCUCAGGUCCUCAUCUGUAAAAUGAGGCUGGGGUACCCGUAUAUGCCAGUGAAGGCUGGACGUCUGCGCACUUAAAAAAGCCAAACCCCUUCAGCCAGGAGGGGAAUUACUGAGUGAGACACACAGCGAUUGUGACAGGACUGUGUGCAAAUUAAAUGGCAUGAGGUAAAGGCUGGGGUGCAUCUAGCUCUGCGUUCAAAAAUGGGGGAUUCAGCACAGCUGGAGAUGUCACAAGCAGCUUCCUGUAAAAGGUGAGUUAGGAACAGAGCUUCAAACCGCCGAAAAGUGAAAUGGAUUGGCAGAAAGGAAAAGAGAGGGCAUCCCAGGCAGGCAGUCUAGCCUGAGCAAAGGCAGGAAGGUGGCAGGGAGAGAAAGCCAGACGAAGCACCACCAUGGUGUGAGAGGAGGGACUGGGGAGAGGCGAGCCUGAAAAGUUCGGGCAGGAAGAGCUUGUUAAGUGCAGCCCCAAAACCAGGCUUCCAUGCAGUUGGCAGUAGGGAGCCACUGUAGGCCCUAUCCAUAAGGACAGGCAGGCAGUAAUCUAACAAAUAUGUAGGUACCUUCAAAUGUGGGGAGGGUUUUUUUUUUUUUAAGACGGAGUCUCGCUCUGUCACCCAGGCUGGAGUGCAGUGGCGCAAUCUCAGCUCACUGCAACCUCCACUUCCCAUGUUCAAGCGAUUCUCCUGCCUCAGCCUCCUAAGUGGCUGGGACUACAAGUGCAUGCCACCAUGCCCAGCUAAUUUUUGUAUUUUUUGUGGAGACAGGGUUUCACCAUGUUGGUCAGGCUGGUCUCAAACUCCUGACCUUGUGAUCUGCCCGCCUGGAUCUCCCAAAGUGCUGGGAUUACAGGCGUGAGCCACCGUGCCCGGCCAUGGGGAGGGUUUUCAAAUUGCUUUUAUGUGGUGGGGAAAACAAAAGGUUGAAGGAGACAUUGGAGGUAAAGGAACAGUUGAUGAUAAGGAACUGGGUAAAGACAUAACCUUGUAUAGCCACACUUAUUCUCAUGCACAUGUAAUUUUUAACUGUGAUGGAUAGAGUUUGGCGUUCCAGGGAGCAUCGAUAGCACUGCAUCAUGACCUUGCUCUUGUGUUGCUUAGAGAUCUGCCGACAGCCGGCUCAGUUCCAUCUUCAGUCAUUGUGUUGCACAGUGAUACGAUCAUUGCUGGUCUAAACAUUGCCAUAAACAUGUCUGUUCCCCAAGCUGAAAGGGGGUUUCUGAUUCUAAGGGAACAAAAGGUUUUCUGGCUUAAAAGACUUAAGACAUAGUCUUUAUAAUAGCUUUCUUUAAAAAUUUCAGUGGGUUAUAAUGCAUAGGGUUUUUAAAAAAGAGCUAAUGUGCAAUAUAUACAAUAGUCUAUCCUACUGACCCAACUUCUCCCUUCCAGUUCUCCCUAAGGACAAUUGUUAAUCAGUUUCCUGUAUACCCUUCCAGAAAUAUAUGCAGAUGUGGCAUAUGUCCAAUUAAAGAAACCUGAUACAUACUGUUAGAACUGUUCAGCAUCUUGGUUUCAAUUUUUAUAUAAAAUUUAGGAUUACGAAAUAUACCAAAGCAGCAUAGAAAAUGAGCCCCCCAUCCCCCUGCCCCAUGGCCCACCACACAGGUUAACAGAUGUUAACAUUUUGCAUUGGCGCCUUGUUUAUGGCUGUCUUGGAGAUAGCCCCGUGUCGCCUCCAGCUGCCUCUUUGUGGUAACUGCCCAAGAGUCGUUAUUGAUUAUAUGCAUGCACCCAAUAUUCAUUAUUCGACCUGUUCCAGCUCUUGGAUAUUUAGCAAAUUACUGAUUUUCUGCUUAUAUAAUUGUGGUGGAGGUAAUACCCCAUUUUGUAUAAAUUUUGCCCGGGUGGGUGGGCUUCGAGGCAAAGGAGAACGAGGCUCGGCUUUGGAUUAGGUUCACACUCCUGCUCCGCCACACUUCUAGUUGUGUGAUCUGGAGUAAGGGAAGGCCCUCACUUUCCCCAUCUGUAAAAUGAACUGGCUAUAGUAAUCCCUCCGUCUCAUAGCUGCUGAGAGGAAUAGAAAACUAAAGUAUAGACGCUUCACUGGGCUUAGUUCCCAGUUUCCCUGGCUAGGGAGGUCUCCGCGGGGACACCAAACUCUCAAGCCCAGCCUAGCAGCUAGAGCGCCCAGCGCCUGCACUUUUGCUUUAAACUACAACCUGUUCCCCGCCUCUCUUCCUCC
rnacentral:lncRNA from 10 species